UGGUCCUAGCCUUGUAAUCAAUUAUUACUUAAUUUACACAUGCAAGUCUCCGCACUCCUGUGAAAACGCCCUUAAAUCCCCAUUAGGGAUAAGGAGCUGGUAUCAGGCACAAUUUAUAGCCCAAGACACCUAGCUAUGCCACACCCACACGGGAAUUCAGCAGUGAUUAACAUUGAAAAUAAGCGACAGCUUGACUCAGUCAAAGUAAAAAGAGCCGGCUAAUCUGGUGCCAGCCGCCGCGGUUACACCACGUGGCUCAAAUUGAUUUCUUUCGGCGUAAAGCGUGAUUAAAGUCAUCAACAAAUUAUAGCCAAACUAAGAUUAAGCUGUGACACGCUUGUAUUUAGGAAAACCAAAACGAAAGUUGCUAUAAUUAAAACAACUUGAACCCACGACAGUUGGGACACAAACUGGGAUUAGAUACCCCACUAUGCCUAACCGUAAACUUUAAAUUACAUCUAUAUCGCCUGGGAACUACGAGCAAAGCUUAAAACCCAAAGGACUUGACGGUACCCCACAUCCACCUAGAGGAGCCUGUCCUAUAAUCGAUAACCCCCGUUCAACCUCACCAUUUUUAGCUUAUCAGCCUGUAUACCUCCGUCGUCAGCUUACCACGUGAGCGACUUCCAGUGAGCUUAAUGCCCAUACGCCAACACGUCAGGUCAAGGUGCAGCAGAUAAAAUGGGAAGAGAUGGGCUACACUCUCUAUUCUAGAAAAUACGGAAGACUAUUUAUGAAACCUAGUCAGAAGGCGGAUUUAGUAGUAAAAAGAGAUAAGAGCGCUCUUUUUAACAUGGCACUGGGGUGUGUACACACCGCCCGUCACCCUCUUCAAAGCUAAUAUGAAGUUCUUAACACACUUAAGCACUACAGAAGAGGCAAGUCGUAACAUGGUAAGUAUACCGGAAGGUGUGCUUGGAAA
rnacentral:ncRNA from 1 species